rnacentral:rRNA from 1 species
GACGUAGGGCGCGAGCGUUGUCCGGAUUUAUUGGGCGUAAAGAGCUCGUAGGCGGCUUGUCGCGUCGACUGUGAAAACUUGGGGCUCAACCCCAAGCUUGCAGUCGAUACGGGCAGGCUAGAGUUCGGUAGGGGAGACUGGAAUUCCUGGUGUAGCGGUGAAAUGCGCAGAUAUCAGGAGGAACACCGAUGGCGAAGGCAGGUCUCUGGGCCACUACUGACGCUGAGAAGCGAAAGCAUGGGGAGCGAACAGG